GACGAACGCUGGCGGCGUGCUUAACACAUGCAAGUCGAACGGAAAGGCCCUGCGUUUGUGGGGUGCUCGAGUGGCGAACGGGUGAGUAACACGUGAGUAACCUGCCCUUGACUUUGGGAUAACUUCAGGAAACUGGGGAUAAUACCGGAUAGGAGCUCCUGCUGCAUGGUGGGGGUAGGAAAAUUUCGGUGGUGGGGGAUGGACUCGCGGCUUACCAGCUGGAUGGGGAGGUAGGGGCUUACAAAGCUUUUGACGGGUAGGCGGCCUGAGAGGGGGACCGGCCACAUUGGGACUGAGAUACGGCCCAGACUCCUACGGGAGGCAGUAGGGGGGAAUAUUGCACAAUGGGCGGAAGCCUGAUGCAGCAACGCCGCGUGCGGGAUGACGGCCUUCGGGUUGUAAACCGCUUUCGCCUGUGACGAAGCGUGAGUGACGGUAAUGGGUAAAGAAGCACCGGCUAACUACGUG
rnacentral:rRNA from 1 species